UAUUUUGAAUUAAGUAUUCAUAAUAGUUUUUCAGACAAAGUGGUUCAAAAUUAUAGGUUGGUGUAAGUGUUUUUUUUAGGAACACAACAUUGCACACAAGGUGAGUACUAUUUUUAAAAAGUGCAGUAGAACACUUAUUAUGAAUGAUCCUUCCGCAGGUUCACCUACGGAAA
rnacentral:misc_RNA from 1 species